AAGACUAUGCUUUCAGGGAUCAUUUCUAUAGUUUCUGACUUGGAAGUUUGAUUUGAAAGUGUAACGUCUCUCUAACCACGAUGACGAGUUAAGAUGCUUUCUUCUGAGCGUGAAUCGGGUGGUGAGCGACGAGUGAGAUUGUCUGCUCUCUGUCAUUGAUGAACGUUCCUGCUGUGCUUUGCAGUCUGGAAGAAGAAAGCAUGUUCAGAGUGGUU
ensembl:snoRNA ACEA small nucleolar RNA U3